GUAGUCGUGGCCGAGUGGUUAAGGCAAUGGGCUAGAAAUCCAUUGGAGUCUCUCUGCGCAGGUUCGAAUCAUGCUGACUACG
rnacentral:tRNA from 1 species